AGCAGUCGCCGCGGUAAUACGAAGGGUGCAAGCGUUACUCGGAAUUACUGGGCGUAAAGCGUGCGUAGGUGGUGGUUUAAGUCCGUUGUGAAAGCCCUGGGCUCAACCUGGGAAUUGCAGUGGAUACUGGGUCACUAGAGUGUGGUAGAGGAUAGUGGAAUUUCCGGUGUAGCAGUGAAAUGCGUAGAGAUCGGAAGGAACAUCUGUGGCGAAGGCGACUAUCUGGGCCAACACUGACACUGAGGCACGAAAGCGUGGGGAGCAAACAGGAUUAGAGACCCGCGUAGUCCCUGUCUCUUAUAC
rnacentral:rRNA from 1 species